UACGUAGGGUGCGAGCGUUGUCCGGAAUUAUUGGGCGUAAAGAGCUCGUAGGCGGCUUGUCGCGUCGGAUGUGAAAGCCCGGGGCUUAACCCCGGGUCUGCAGUCGAUACGGGCAGGCUAGAGUUCGGUAGGGGAGAUCGGAAUUCCUGGUGUAGCGGUGAAAUGCGCAGAUAUCAGGAGGAACACCGGUGGCGAAGGCGGAUCUCUGGGCCGAUACUGACGCUGAGGAGCGAAAGCGUGGGGAGCGAACAGG
rnacentral:rRNA from 1 species